UUUCUAUAUUGCUGAUCCAGGCACACCAUUUUUCUGCCCAGAACUCUUCAGGGAUUCCCCACCAUUGAAGAAAAAGAUAUGGGGAAUGCAGCUAAAGAGGUCAAAUAACUUGCUCAAGUUUACACAGUGACAACACUGGAAUUUGAACCCAGCAAGACUGACUUGUCACUGCCAUCCAAUACUAAUCCUCAUCAGCAUCAGGUUCGCAGGGUUGGAGCCCCUUUCUUGGAAGACCUUCUGUGGUAGGCUCUUCCCUAGUGGCCUCUUUAGGAACAAUGCCUCUGACCCCUGGCCACUAGCUGAAGUUCUGGUCCAAAACAGAUGAACACCCUCCCAAUGAUGUCCCAAGCAUUGCCACUUCCUGGAAACUCAUACUGCCAUGUUCCACUCAUCUGAUUGGAUUUCCGUGAUGUGGAUUCUUGCCUGGACUAGUAAUCAUACUAAGCUGUAACUACUUACCACUCAGUGUGAAAGCACAUGAGGCAUAUUGCUACUGAUCCUUACAAGAGUCUGCAUGAAGAGAGUGUAUCUCCCAUUUUAGAAGUAGCUCAGAGGAGUGCAAAUGAUGGCCCAAAACCACACGGAUAGAGCAUAGCAAAGUUAGCAUUCAAACUCAGGUCUGCUGACAUCACAGCCCAUAUUCAUUUCAUUGUUUCUAAGUUUGCUAGUCCCCAUGAAACACUCUCAGUUGAACCUCUGACCACUCCCCUUGGGGGCCAGCCUCAACCCCUGGUUAGUGGCCUAACCCUAGUCCCACCCACCACAGCUUCCUCUCCUUCCCCUCCUUCCCUCACCCUAGGCCUGCCAAGUCCACAUCCCACCUUGGGAUUGAGCUCGUCUGGGGUGUGAGCUUUAUUAAUCCAAAAUGUUCAAAAAACUUUCCAUAGACUAUGACUCAGAAUAUGUUUAAGCCAUCAUCCUCAGCAAACUAACACAGGAACAGAAAACCAAACACCUCAUGUUCUCACUCAUAAGUGGGAGUUGAACAAUGAGAACACAUGGACACAGGGAGGGGAACAACAUACACCGGG
rnacentral:lncRNA from 10 species